GACGAACGCUGGCGGCGUGCCUAAUACAUGCAAGUCGAACGCUUCUUUCCUCCCGAGUGCUUGCACUCAAUUGGAAAGAGGAGUGGCGGACGGGUGAGUAACACGUGGGUAACCUACCCAUCAGAGGGGGAUAACACUUGGAAACAGGUGCUAAUACCGCAUAACAGUUUAUGCCGCAUGGCAUAAGAGUGAAAGGCGCUUUCGGGUGUCGUUGAUGGAUGGACCCGCGGUGCAUUAGCUAGUUGGUGAGGUAACGGCUCAUCAAGGCCACGAUGCAUAGCCGACCUGAGAGGGUGAUCGGCCACACUGGGACUGAGACACGGCCCAGACUCCUACGGGAGGCAGCAGUAGGGAAUCUUCGGCAAUGGACGAAAGUCUGACCGAGCAACGCCGCGUGAGUGAAGAAGGUUUUCGGAUCGUAAAACUCUGUUGUUAGAGAAGAACAAGGACGUUAGUAACUGAACGUCCCCUGACGGUAUCUAACCAGAAAGCCACGGCUAACUACGUG
rnacentral:rRNA from 1 species